rnacentral:rRNA from 1 species
UACGUAGGGUGCAAGCGUUGUCCGGAAUUAUUGGGCGUAAAGGGCUCGUAGGCGGUUUGUCGCGUCGGGAGUGAAAACACGGGGCUUAACCCCGUGCCUGCUUCCGAUACGGGCAGACUAGAGGUAUGCAGGGGAGAACGGAAUUCCUGGUGUAGCGGUGAAAUGCGCAGAUAUCAGGAGGAACACCGAUGGCGAAGGCAGGUCUCUGGGCCACUACUGACGCUGAGAAGCGAAAGCGUGGGGAGCAAACAGG